AAACAUUUCACUUUUUUCUAUCACUCAUGUUUCCGUUUCCAUUCAAUCAUUUGCAGAUGGAAAAAAAUUAAGCUAAAGUGCUCUUAGGUUUUUUCUAAUGCAUCCAAGAAGAUCUUUUAUAUUUUUUAAAAGUACAUUUUUCUCUUGCAUAGAAUCUGAAAUCUAUUAGCUAUCCAUGUCCAAUGGUUUUCCCUUUCCCACAGAUCAGACUAAGCAAACUCCUGGCAGGAAGUCACCAGAAAUCUACUUGCCGGGUACUACCAUAUUCCUUCAUAAAAAAUGGCCUGGAAAGUGCUAGCAAUGCCCUAUUCCUCCUAUCCAUUUCUAACCUCUACCUAAGGAAAGAGGUGAAGAGAAGCAGAGGAGGACUGACCAAAUCAUAACCAGUUGUUGCACAGUGGUGAUCAUAACUGAAGAUAUACAACCAAGAAGACAUUAUUGCUGACCUAAUAUCAUAAGGAAAAAAAUCAAAUCCAAAUCACAGUCAAGUUGAAGAAUGUUGGUGGGAC
rnacentral:lncRNA from 1 species